AACGUAGGUUCCGAGCGUUAUCCGGAUUUACUGGGCGUAAAGCGCGUUCAGGCGGUUUGGCAAGUCGGGCGUGAAAUCCUUCGGCUCAACCGGGGGAGGUUGUCCGAUACUGCUGAACUGGAGGGCAGUAGAGGGUGGUGGAAUUCCGGGUGUAGUGGUGAAAUGCGUAGAGAUCCGGAGGAACACCAGUGGCGAAAGCGGCCACCUGGACUGCACCUGACGCUGAGGAGCGAAAGCCAGGGGAGCAAACGGG
rnacentral:rRNA from 1 species